CCAGAGAACUUUCCAGAGAUGGAUUGGUGCCUUCGGGAACUCUGAGACAGGUGCUGCAUGGCUGUCGUCAGCUCGUGUUGUGAAAUGUUGGGUUAAGUCCCGCAACGAGCGCAACCCUUAUCCUUUGUUGCCAGCGGUUAGGCCGGGAACUCAAAGGAGACUGCCAGUGAUAAACUGGAGGAAGGUGGGGAUGACGUCAAGUCAUCAUGGCCCUUACGAGUAGGGCUACACACGUGCUACAAUGGCGCAUACAAAGAGAAGCGACCGUCGCGAGAGCAAGCGGACCUCAUAAAGUGCGUCGUGGUCCGGAUUGGAGUCUGCAACUCGACUCCAUGAAGUCGGAAUCGCUAGUAAUCGUGGAUCAGAAUGCCACGGUGAAUACGUUCCCGGGCCUUGUACACACCGCCCGUCACACCAUGGGAGUGGGUUGCAAAAGAAGUAGGUAGCUUAACCUUCGGGAGGGCGCUUACCACUUUGUGAUUCAUGACUGGGGUGAAGUCGUAACAAGGUAAGCGUAGUGCU
rnacentral:rRNA from 1 species